CAUCACAUCCAUCCAGGGGCACAGAGUACCAUUGUAGCGCCCGGUAUGCCUCAUCCAGCCACAGUUCCUUCUUGAUCAGCCGCUGGAAUUCUAUGAUCCACUCUUCCCAGGGCGGAUCCUUCAGUAAAGGCAACCUCGGCACUGUUUGCCUCUGUCUGCGCAGAUCUAAACUGAGAAGGCUCUCUUCCCCCUUGAGCUUGAGACUGCUCCAGUGCCUCGUGCCAGAGCUCUUGUCGUACCACCUUUUUCC